rnacentral:tRNA from 1 species
GAACGUUAAAUAGAUUUACCUAUACUCGGUUACGGACCGGGGAGAUGUUCGUUUUUAG